rnacentral:misc_RNA from 1 species
AAGUCGUAACAAGGUUUCCGUAGGUGAACCUGCGGAAGGAUCAUUAAUGAAUAAACUUGGUCGAGCUGUUGCUGGUUCUUCGGGACAUGUGCACGCUUGCCACCAAUUUUAACCACCUGUGCACCCUUUGUAGACUGCAAACGUUUCUCGAGGCAACUCGGAUUGAGGACUGCUGUGCGAAAGCCGGCUGUUCUUGUGUUUCUCAGUCUAUGUUUUUCAUAUACUCCUAAUGUAUGUAUCAGAAUGUAUUGCUAGGCCUUAGCGCCUUUAAAUCAAAUACAACUUUCAACAACGGAUCUCUUGGCUCUC